rnacentral:rRNA from 1 species
UACGGGGGGGGGCAAGCGUUGUUCGGAAUUACUGGGCGUAAAGGGCUCGUAGGUGGCCAACUAAGUCAGACGUGAAAUCCCUCGGCUUAACCGGGGAACUGCGUCUGAUACUGGAUGGCUUGAGUUUGGGAGAGGGAUGCGGAAUUCCAGGUGUAGCGGUGAAAUGCGUAGAUAUCUGGAGGAACACCGGUGGCGAAGGCGGCAUCCUGGACCAAUACUGACACUGAGGAGCGAAAGCCAGGGGAGCAAACGGG